GUACUUACCUGGCAGGGGAGCUGCCAUGAUCCCAAAGGUGGUUUUCCCAGGGCGAGGCUUAUCCAUUGCACUCCGGAUGUGCUGACUCCUUUGAUUUCCCCAAAUGUGGGAAACUCGACUGCAUAAUUUGUGGUAUUGGAGGACUGCAUUCACACUCUCCCCUA